AACUGAGAGCCCAGACUUAAAAGACCUGUUCAGCACCUUACAGCAGACUCCAAGAGAUCAUGUCCUUCUGCUGGCAGAAGGAAUCACCUACAUCCUUGAUGCUCUGCAUGAGUUAAUGGAGGAUCAGCUGCUGCUGCUGCUGAAAUCCUUGGAAAGGAAGAUUGUGCCCCAACAGCUCAAGCUGGUUGAAAGCCUCCUGAAACACGACCUGG